rnacentral:rRNA from 1 species
CCUACGGGAGACAGCAGUGGGGAAUAUUGCGCAAUGGGCGAAAGCCUGACGCAGCGACGCAGCGUGAGGGAUGAAGGUCUUCGGAUCGUAAACCGCUGUCAGCAGGGAAGAACGGUCACUGUGCUAAUCAGUAGUGAAUUGACGGUACCUGCAAAGGAAGCACCGGCUAACUCUGUGCCAGCAGCCGCGGUAAUACGGAGGGUGCGAGCGUUAAUCAGAAUUACUGGGCGUAAAGCGCUCGUAGGCGGUAUGUUAAGUCAAGGGUGAAAUCCCCGCGCUCAACGUGGGAACUGCCUUUGAAACUGGCAAACUAGAGUGUGUGAGAGGAUAGUGGAAUUCCAGGUGUAGGAGUGAAAUCCGUAGAUAUCUGGAGGAACAUCAGGGGCGAAGGCGACUAACUGGCACAUAACUGACGCUGAGGAGCGAAAGCGUGGGUAGCAAACAGGAUUAGAUACCCUUGUAGUC